CGUUGGGGGGUGCUAUAAUGCAAGUCGAGCGCGUGAAUCAACAUGAUCCCUUCGGGGUGAUUGUUGUGGAUCGAGCGGCGGACGGGUGAGUAACACGUGGGCAACCUACCCAUGAGAUCGGGAUAACUCCGGGAAACCGGAGCUAAUACCGAAUAACCCAGUGAACUGCAUGGUUCACUGGUAAAAGGCGGUUUCGGCCGUCACUCAUGGAUGGGCCCGCGGCGCAUUAGCUAGUUGGUAAGGUAACGGCUUACCAAGGCAACGAUGCGUAGCCGACCUGAGAGGGUGAUCGGCCACACUGGGACUGAGACACGGCCCAGACUCCUACGGGAGGCAGCAGUAGGGAAUCUUCCGCAAUGGACGAAAGUCUGACGGAGCAACGCCGCGUGAACGAUGAAGGUCUUCGGAUCGUAAAGUUCUGUUGUUAGGGAAGAACAAGUACCAGAGGAAAUGCUGGUACCUUGACGGUACCUAACCAGAAAGCCACGGCUAACUACGUGCCAGCAGCCGCGGUAAUACGUAGGUGGCAAGCGUUGUCCGGAAUUAUUGGGCGUAAAGCGCGCGCAGGCGGUUUCUUAAGUCUGAUGUGAAAGCCCACAGCUCAACUGUGGAGGGCCAUUGGAAACUGGGGAACUUGAGUACAGAAGAGGAGAGUGGAAUUCCACGUGUAGCGGUGAAAUGCGUAGAUAUGUGGAGGAACACCAGUGGCGAAGGCGACUCUCUGGUCUGUAACUGACGCUGAGGCGCGAAAGCGUGGGUAGCAAACAGGAUUAGAUACCCUGGUAGUCCACGCCGUAAACGUUGAGUGCUAGGUGUUAGGGGUUUCCGCCCCUUAGUGCUGAAGUUAACGCAUUAAGCACUCCGCCUGGGGAGUACGGCCGCAAGGCUGAAGACUCAAACUAAUUGACGGGGACCCGCACAAGCAGUGGAGCAUGUGCUUUAAUUUCUAACAACACGUACACCUUACCAGUCUUGCCAUCUUCCGCUAUCCUAGACAUAGGUGUUCGUUCCUGCACGAAUGACACGUGUGCAUGGUUGACGCGCUCAUGUCGUGCAUGAUGGAUGAGUCCGCUACACGCCAUGUCUGUGCUUAGCUGCCAA
rnacentral:rRNA from 1 species